UACGGAGGGUGCGAGCGUUGUCCGGAAUCACUGGGCGUAAAGGGCGCGUAGGCGGCCUGAUAAGUAGGGGGUGAAAUCCCUCGGCUUAACCGGGGAACUGCGUCUGAUACUGGAUGGCUUGAAUCCGGGAGAGGGAUGCGGAAUUCCAGGUGUAGCGGUGAAAUGCGUAGAUAUCUGGAGGAACACCGGUGGCGAAGGCGGCAUCCUGGACCGGCAUUGACGCUGAGGAGCGAAAGCCAGGGGAGCAAACGGG
rnacentral:rRNA from 1 species